CGCGGAGCUGGUACCCUGCAGUCUCCUGCUAGCGGGCGGGGGUGGCUUGUGAGGGCGCUGCGGCCGGUUCAUGGCGCGGGCGGUACCGGCCUCUGCAGGUGACGGAGGCACAGCGAGGGCCGCCCCGGCGUAGAGUUCCAAAAGAUGAGUCAUGGAUAUUCAGAAAACAACAAUUUCCUAAACAAUAACAACCAAAUGGUGUUGGACAUGAUCCUUUACCCAUUAAUUGGAAUCCACCAGACCAUCAACUGGGAAUCAGUGGCAAGGCUUGUGCCUGGAUUAACACCCAAAGAGUGUGCAAAGAGGUUUGAUGAACUGAAGAACAGUGGAAGCUCACCUGUGGACAACCACUGUAGUCCCCUCAUGGCUGCUGGAGAGAGUCCUGUUGAAACUUUAGCCACGUAUAUCAAAUCCUCGCUUCUUGGCACACAAAGAGAAUUUCAGGAGACUUCAGUUGGUCAGGAUGCAGUUUCUAAAACAGGAAGACAUAGUAUAGCUUCCACAAGGAAUUGUUCUUCAGAAAGUGAAAAUUGUACUACUCAUAAUGGUGGAGAAAAGACUGAAGAAUCUGAAGGGCCAAACAUGGUGAUCCAUGUAUGUGAUGAAGCAAAAAACUUGAAAGAAGAUUUUAUUUGCCCACGAGAUCUUUUGAUAUCAGAAAUGAAGUACUUUGCUGAAUAUUUAUCUGUGGACGCCCAGCGCUGGGAAGAGGUGGACAUUUCAGUUCAUUGUGACGUUCACAUUUUCAACUGGUUGAUAAAAUAUGUUAAAAGGAACACUAAGGAGAAUAAAGAUUGUGAGAUGCCCACUUUAGAGCCAGGAAAUGUCAUUUCAAUUCUUAUUUCUUCAGAAUUUUUGAAAAUGGAUUCAUUAGUUGAACAAUGUAUUCAGUAUUGCCACAAAAAUAUGAAUGCCAUAGUAGCUACCCCAUGCAACAUGAAUUGUAUUAAUGCAAAUCUUCUUACACGUAUAGCUGAUCUGUUCACACACAGUGAAAUUGAUGAUUUAAAGGACAAGAAAGAUAAGUUUAGGAGUAAACUUUUUUGUAAGAAGAUUGAGAGACUGUUUGAUCCAGAAUACUUGAAUCCAGAUUCUCAGAAUAAUGCAGCAACAUUAUACAGAUGCUGUUUGUGUAAGAAACUUUUAACAAAAGAAACAGAAAGAAGAAUUCCGUGCAUUCCUGGAAAAAUCAAUGUGGAUCAACAUGGAAAUAUUAUCUACAUUCAUAUAAGAGAUAAGACUUGGGAUGUUCAUGAGUAUUUGAAUAGUCUUUCUGAAGAAUUAAAAUCUUGGAGAGAUGUAUAUUGGCGCUUGUGGGGAACAGUCAACUGGCUAACUUGUUCAAGAUGUUAUCAGGCUUUUCUGUGUAUAGAGUUUUCACAUUGUCAAUAUCACUCAGAAACAGUGAUUUAUCCUACUGCAGGAAGUUCGCUAAGUUCUGUUGGCACUGGAAUCUAUCCCUGCUGUAACCAAAAGGUUCUUCGGUUUGACCCCACUCAGCUUACAAAGGGUUGUAAAGUGAAGGACCACAUGGUGGUUCUUCGUGAUCAAGGUGAAGGUGAAGAUUUGCUGUCCUGCCCAACUGCCAGAAUACUGGAUGAUCUGCAGAAACACAAAGAUGUCAUUCUUGUGCCUUUUGCUAAAGAUACAGUCAGUGAUUCUGGUGGUCCCUGUGAUGAAAAGGGUCUAGACUGUGAUGUUUUACUGGAGCCAAAUACACCAUGGGGCCCCAAGAGUGGGGAGCUCAAUGCUUUCUUAUCACUGAAAAACUGGACACUGCAGCUGAAACAGCAGUCAUUAUUUUCAGAAGAAGAAGAAUAUACCACUGGGUCCGAGGUCACUGAAGAUGAAGUUGGAGAUGAAGAAGAAGUAUCCAAGAAACAAAGGAAAAAGGAGAAGCCAAAGAAAUUCACUAAACAACCAAAAAAGCAGAUGUCUUCACCCUGUGGUCAGAAGAAAGAAAAGGCAUUGGAGAAGGAAGGAGUAAAAAGCCAGUCAACUUCUAGAGAUGUGUCUCCUUUCAUUGUGAGUAUGCAGAAGAAUAAGUGGGAUGCCACAAGAUCCUUGAGAUUCAACCAAGAUGCACAAAGAGAAGAUGAUCAACGGCGGAUGUCUGAAAUUACAGGGCACCUAAUAAAGAUGAGAUUGGGUGAUCUGGACCAAGUCAAGUCAAAGGAAGCAAAAGAAUUUGCAGGAGGUAUUUAUUCCAGGCUCGAAGCACAAAUCAAGGCCUCAGUGCCAGUCAGUGCACGGCAAAGCAGCUCGGAGAAAAACACAAGGUCUAAAAGUCGUUUUGGUCAAGGUCGGCUUGCGUAAAGCACCUUAAACUAUAAGAAGACAGAAGACUCACCUCUGGACAUCUGAAAUUGUUCAUCACUUCUUGAAGAUGGAGAAACUGAGUCCCAGACAUGGCAACUUGUCUAAGAGAAACAGAAAAGAAUGACCUGAGCAAUGGGCCCUUGAUGACGAGUUGCUGUACCAGCUUGGCCUCCUGUUAGCAGUAUGUGAGAGUCCCUGUUGUUCAGCUUCCUCACCAACAAUGAAGGUUGUAUCAUCAGGAUGACUAAAUUAAGCCACAAUAACCAAGAACCACCAGUGACUUAAUUCAAAGGUUUGUUUCUUGCUGCAAGUGCAGUGCAGGUAAACAGUGAAGGGCCGUUUGUCACAGUCACUCAGGGACCUGGGCUGAGAGGAUCCAUCCUGACACAUGCUUCUGAGAGGCAGGGAGAAAGAACUAAAGGUCUCACACUCUGGCUGUGAAAGUUUCUGCACAGAAGUGACGGACAUCACUUCUGCUCACAUUUAAUGGGCCAGAACAAGACGUGAUCACCUCAAAGCAUCCCCAUUCCUACCUUUAGGGUGUGAAUGUUUGUGAAUGGUUACCAAGGUACUGAUAGACUUUAAUUUUUAUUAGUCUAAUGAGUAUGAAAUGGUGACUUGUUAUUUUUAUUUAUAUGCUCCUGAUUAUUACUGAGGUUGAGCAUAUAUUCAGGUGUUUAUUGCCCAAGUGUGUUUAGUCCUUUAAAAAUUGCCUGUUGAUAUCCUUUGCCCAUUUUUCUAUUGGGUUUUAAAAAUCUAAUUUUGUAGGAUAUGUUUAUAAUCUGGCUACUAAUCCUUUAUUGAUUCUAUGCACUAUAAAUGUCUUCUUCCAGACUGUGGCAUUUGCUUUCCACUUUGUUU